CCUACGGGAGGCAGCAGUAGGGAAUCUUGCACAAUGGGCGAAAGCCUGAUGCAGCAACGCCGCGUGGGUGAAGAAGGUCUUCGGGUCGUAAAACCCUGUUGUUGGGGCAGAAAGUGCGUGAGAGCAACUGUUCACGUUUCGACGGUAUCUAACCAGCAAGCGACGGCUAACUACGUGCCAGCAGCCGCGGUAAUACGUAGGGGGCAAGCGUUAUCCGGAGUUGUUGGGCGUAAAGGGUACGUAGGCGGUCUUUUAAGUCUGAUGUGAAAGCCUUCGGCUUAACCGGAGGACUGCAUUGGAAACUGGGAGGCUUGAGUGCGGAAGAGGAGAGUGGAACUCCAUGUGUAGCGGUGAAAUGCGUAGAUAUAUGGAGGAACACCAGUGGCGAAAGCGGUUCUCUGGUCUGUAAUUGACGCUGAGGUUCGAAAGCGUGGGUAGCAAACAGGAUUAGAUACCCUGGUAGUC
rnacentral:rRNA from 1 species